GUGUGUGUGUGUGUGUGUGUAUUUAGCAGUCUGUGUGUGUAUUCAGCAGACUGUGUACUCAGCAGUCUGCUAACAGACAGACUGCUAAGUACACAGACAGACUGCUAAAUACACAGACAGACUG